rnacentral:rRNA from 1 species
AGAGUUUGAUUCUGGCUCAGGAUGAACGCUAGCGACAGGCCUAACACAUGCAAGUCGAGGGGUAACAGGGGCUUCGGCCCGCUGACGACCGGCGCACGGGUGAGUAACGCGUAUGCAACCUGCCUGUAACAGCGGGAUAGCUCCCUGAAAGGGGAAUUAACACCGCAUAAGACCACGCUCUCGCAUGGGGACGGGGUAAAAUAUUUAUAGGUUACAGAUGGGCAUGCGUGACAUUAGUUAGUUGGUGAGGUAACGGCUCACCAAGACAGCGAUGUCUAGGGGUUCUGAGAGGAAGGUCCCCCACACUGGAACUGAGACACGGUCCAUACACCUACGGGUGGCAGCAGUAGGGAAUAUUAGAAAUGGGCGAAAGCCUGAUCUAGCAACACCGCGUGUGCGAUGAAGGCCUUCGGGUUGUAAAGCACUUUUUGGAGGGAAUAGGAAGGAAGGUACCUCCAGAAUAAGUCUCGGCUAACUACGUGCCAGCAGCCGCGGUAACACGUAGGAGGCAAACGUUAUCCGGAUUCACUGGGCGUAAAGCGCGUGUAGGUGGUUCUGUAAGUAGGGCGUGAAAGCUCCCGGCUCAACUGGGAGAGGCCGUACUAAACUGCAGAGCUAGAGGAUGGUAGAGGGAGGUGGAAUUCCAGGUGUAGUGGUGAAAUGCGCAGAUAUCUGGAGGAACACCAGUGGCGAAGGCGGCCUCCUGGACCAUUCCUGACACUCAGACGCGAAAGCUAGGGUAGCAAACGGAAUUAGAGACUCCGGUAGUCCUAGCCCUAAACGAUGCAGAAAAGGCGUCGGCGGUUUAAUCACCCGUCGGUUUCCAAGCUAACGCGAUAAGUCUGCCGCCUGAGGACUACGGCCGCAAGGCUAAAACUCAAAGGAAUUGACGGGUCCCCGCACAAGCAGCGGAGCGUGUGGUUUAAUUCGAUGCUCCGCGAAGAACCUUACCUGGGUUUGACAUAACAGUGGUAGAGAAGAGAAAACGGAUCGACCCUUCGGGGAGCUGUUACAGGUGUUGCAUGCCUGUCGUCAGCUCGUGUCGUGAGAUGUUCGGUUAAGUCCGCUAACGAGCGCAACCCGCGCUGUGUGUUACAAGUGUCACACAGUACCGCCGGUAUUAAGUCGGAGGAAGGUGCGGAUGACGUCAAGUCAGCAUGACCUUUAUAUCCAGGGCUACACACACGCUACAAUGGUCAGAACAAUAGGUUGCCAAGCCGCAAGGCGGAGCCAAUCCUCCAAAUCUGGCCUCAGUUCAGAUUGCAGGCUGCAACUCGCCUGCAUGAAGUCGGAGUUGCUAGUAACCGCAGGUCAGCAUACUGCGGUGAAUACAAGCCCGGGGAUUGCACACACCGCCCGUCA